rnacentral:lncRNA from 1 species
AGAGAAGAGGUUGGCAAAGAAAGGCUCUUUCUAUGUAAGAAUAAAUGGACUAAAUAGCUUUUUUGGUCUUCAAUGAGAGAUUACCCUGGGGAAAGAAAUCUCUUUUUAUUGAAACUAAGAAACGGUACUUCUUAAGCAUUUGAGCCUAACAUCUUACCUGUUGAAACUCUCCGGUACAGGACAACCUCUGGUGCAACUCAUUCAUUGAAAUGGAAUAUUCCUUGUGCCCUUAUGCGUUAGGGAGCUUCCUUGCCAGUACUUUAUGCAUCCCUUAAUCCAGUCUUCUUCACUGACUAAGAAAAUAAUGGAAUCUAGCUAAGAGCUUAGUUACAGACAAGCAAAUAGGAGUGGACCUUCCCCGCACAGAAAAAGAUUAUACUAAAGCUACCCCACCGGACAAGCAGAGAAAAGUGAACUUAGCAACUACGCUAAGCAUCCUGUUUCUUACCUUCAUACAGCAGAGUGGAAUUCUGUGUCUAGUUUUCUGGAGUUAUUAAUAAGUCCUGUGUUUUUGCAGCUGACCUCCUGUAUAUGAGACCUGCUUCACAGAGCCAAUCAUGUCUCCCGCAAACUAUGCUCAAACAUCAAUUUAUGAACCGCACUCAACGAGCUCUCCUCGCAUGGCUUCUUCUCCCG